UCCAUCAAUAUAAGAACAUUUUGACCAUCUAAUCUAACAGAGCAAACUAAUGAAAUAAUGGCUUAUUGUACAUUCAAUAUGCAACGUCGUUGUAUAGAGGGAGAGUGAUAAAUUCGAUGCCAUAAACUUAAUAGCACAUUCAAUAUUCUCUCCGAUUUUACAUUAGUGACAUUAAUUAGGUCACUACUGUUUUUUAACCUUGCGAUUAAAGCAACUCCAACAACUCGUUAUCCUAACUUGCCAUCUCUGUGUUUUUGGCAAAUUAUAAAAAGACUAUCUCCAACGGUUUGUCAUCCGGGUUUCCAAAUUUUAGCAAUUUGUCAUAUUCUCUCGUUUGCGCGCAUAUAUAGUAGUUCGGAUUUCACUUGGUAUCUAGGAAAGUACGAUGCUGGGUCUCUUGCGCC
rnacentral:lncRNA from 1 species